rnacentral:rRNA from 1 species
CCCUUAGAUGUCCUGGGCCGCACGCGCGUUACACUGAUGCAUUCAACGAGCUUAUAACCUUGGCCGAGAGGCCUGGGCAAUCUUGUUAACGUGCAUCGUGAUAGGGAUAGAUUAUUGAAAUUAUUAAUCUUGAACGAGGAAUUCCUAGUAAACGCAGAUCAUCAAUCUGCAUUGAUUACGUCCCUGCCCUUUGUACACACCGCCGUCGCACCUACCGAUUGGAUGGUCCGGUGAAGCCUCGGGAUUGUGGUCCUUGCCGCUUUAUUGUGGCGUGACCGCGAGAACUUGUCUAAACCUUAUCAUCUAGAGGAAGGUGAAGUCGUAACA